rfam:Collinsella aerofaciens ATCC 25986 C_aerofaciens-2.0_Cont930, whole genome shotgun sequence.
AACGGUACGGGACAGUGCGCAGUAGUGCGAGCUGUCCGUCGUGGUAGAUCUAAAUAAACGGUGGGACGGCUGCAAAAGAGCCGCCCCACCGGGCAAAAUCAAGGUGUGCCGCGGAACCCGCUCCUCAGUCGGUCAACUUUGGAAGCUCGGGCAACGCAGGUGUUAAUGUCUAAAGGGCCGGGGCAACCGGCCC